rnacentral:rRNA from 1 species
UACGGAGGGUGCGAGCGUUGUUCGGAAUUAUUGGGCGUAAAGCGCACGUAGGCGGCCUGGUAAGUCUCACUGUGAAAGCCCGGGGCUCAACCCCGGGAGGCCAGGGGAUACUGCAAGGCUAGAGACAGGUAGAGGCUGGUAGAAUUCCGGGUGUAGCGGUGGAAUGCGUAGAGAUCCGGAGGAAUACCUGAGGCGAAGGCGGCCAGCUGGGCCUGAUCUGACGCUGAGGUGCGAAAGCGUGGGGAGCGAACAGG